UGCCAGCCGCCGCGGUAAUACGGAGGGUGCGAGCGUUAAUCGGAGUUACUGGGCGUAAAGCGCGCGUAGGCGGCUUUGUAAGUCGGAUGUGAAAUCCCCGGGCUUAACCUGGGAACUGCAUUCGAUACUGCAGAACUAGAGUAUGGUAGAGGGAAGUGGAAUUUCCGGUGUAGCGGUGAAAUGCGUAGAUAUCGGAAGGAACAUCAGUGGCGAAGGCGGCUCCCUGGCCAAAGACUGACGCUCAUGUGCGAAAGUGUGGGUAGCGAACAGGAUUAGAUA
rnacentral:rRNA from 1 species